rnacentral:misc_RNA from 1 species
AAGUCGUAACAAGGUUUCCGUAGGUGAACCUGCGGAAGGAUCAUUACAUUCAGUAGCCUAGCUACUUGUUUAUACCCUUGUUUUUUGCGUACCCAUUGUUUCCUCGGCGGGCUUGCCUGCCGGUUGGACAAAACUAUAACCUUUUUAAAUCUUCAAUCAGCGUCUGAAUUAUACAUAAUAAUUACAACUUUCAACAACGGAUCUCUUGGUUCUG